CUUGGUCAUUUAGAGGAAGUAAAAGUCGUAACAAGGUUUCCAUAGCUUAAGUCUAUGAAGAACAGCAAUGUUCCUUCCGCAGAGUACACUUGCAGAAGCCUUAGUGGCCUGAAAGGGUUUCACCAGCGACUCUAAACAAGUAGGUGGAUUAAAUGCUAGUCUCUUUGGAAGAGGCAACACUAUCAAAUUGCGGGAAGAUCCUGUCAGGUCCACAUCACCGCGGCUCACCGAAAGGUGCAGUGCAGCACCAGGCUAACAACCUUGGGUAUGGUAACAGCAUGUGGAAUAGGGAGAAUCUGCAGCCAAGCCCCACUUCUUGGGGUGCAGUUCACAGGCCAAAUGGUAGUGGGCACUCUGGUGCUUAAGAUAUGGUCGAGUCCCAAUUGCAAAGUUGGGUACAAGUACUCUGAUUGAUUACAUAGUUGUAAAUGCAAAUGUUCCGUAGGUGAACCUGC
rnacentral:rRNA from 1 species